rnacentral:rRNA from 1 species
UUAACAUGAGAGUUUGAUCCUGGCUCAGGACGAACGCUGGCGGCGUGCCUAAUACAUGCAAGUCGAGCGAGCCGAACUAAUUGAUUACUUCGGGUAUGAAGUNAGGGARGCNAGCGGCGGAUGGGUGAGUAACACGUGGGUAACCUACCCUAUAGUCUGGGAUACCACUUGGAAACAGGUGCUAAUACCGGAUAAAAGGAGAGAUCACAUGAUUUCUUUUUGAAAGGCGGCGUAAGCUGUCGCUAAAGGAUGGACCCNCGGUGCAUUAGCUAGUUGGUAAGGUAACGGCUUACCAAGGCAACGAUGCAUAGCCGAGUUGAGAGACUGAUCGGCCACAUUGGGACUGAGACACGGCCNNAACUCCUACGGGAGGCAGCAGUAGGGAAUCUUCCACAAUGGACGCAAGUCUGAUGGAGCAACGCCGCGUGAGUGAAGAAGGUUUUCGGAUCGUAAAGCUCUGUUGUUGGUGAAGAAAGAUAGUGAGAGUAACUGCUCAUUAUUUGCCGGUAAUCAACCAGAAAGUCACGGCUAACUACGUGCCAGCAGCCGCGGUAAUACGUAGGUGGCNAGCGUUGUCCGGAUUUAUUGGGCGUAAAGCGAGCGCAGGCGGAAAGAUAAGUCAGAUGUGAAAGCCCUCGGCUUAACCGAGGCAUAGCAUCGGAAACUGUCUUUCUUGAGUGCAGAAGAGGAGAGUGGAACUCCAUGUGUAGCGGUGGAAUGCGUAGAUAUAUGGAAGAACACCAGUGGCGAAGGCGGCUCUCUGGUCUGUAACUGACGCUGAGGCUCNAAAGCAUGGGUAGCGAACAGGAUUAGAUACCCUGGUAGUCCAUGCUGUAAACGAUGAGUGCUAAGUGUUGGGAGGUUUCCGCCUCUCAGUGCUGCAGCUAACGCAUUAAGCACUCCGCCUGGGGAGUACGACCGCAAGGUCAAAACUCAAAGGAAUUGACGGGGNCCNGCACAAGCGGUGGAGCAUGUGGUUUAAUUCGAANNAACGCGAAGAACCUUACCAGGUCUUGACAUCUAGUGCCAACCUUGGAUUCUCUAAUCCGCAAGGGAAGCCCCUGUGAUUCUGUCCACCACGUACCGACAGCAGUCGAGCACAGCACUCUACAACCCAAUUCAGGGCGUUGCUCGCGUUGGGAAUAAUAAUCAACGGUCGUAAUUCAACCCGUGAGAUUACUCUGACGGCCACUGUUUGGCCUCCUUCCACCCCUACUGCAGUUCAGUAGUACGGGGAAUACUGGACCCGAUGUGUGCACGAUGUUACCCGUCAUGUUGCUCCUCGCUUGAACACUUCCGUUCGCUUAGAGACUUUCGACAAGAGUCAAGCCUGACAUCCGACGUUGAGCGGAUGUGCUUCGACCUUAGCGAUCAUUAGCGCCUAGUCGUGCGGCGCCACUUAUGCAAGGGCCCGGAACAUGUGUGGCGGGCAGUGUGGUACUCUCAAACAUUGUGGGUUUCGGCCGGCCUAUUGGAUCAAAUGAUCCUCAGUCGGCAGAUUCCACCCUGUUUACUAAUCCCAC